rnacentral:rRNA from 1 species
UACGAAGGGGGCUAGCGUUGCUCGGAUUUACUGGGCGUAAAGGGCGCGUAGGCGGAUGUUUAAGUCGGGGGUGAAAGCCCGGGGCUCAACCUCGGAAUUGCCUUCGAUACUGGACAUCUUGAGUACGGGAGAGGUGAGUGGAACUCCGAGUGUAGAGGUGAAAUUCGUAGAUAUUCGGAAGAACACCAGUGGCGAAGGCGACUCACUGGCCCGUUACUGACGCUGAGGCGACGAAAGCGUGGGGAGCAAACAGG